rnacentral:rRNA from 1 species
CCCAGACUCCUACGGGAGGCAGCAGUGAGGAAUAUUGGUCAAUGGGCGGGAGCCUGAACCAGCCAAGUCGCGUGAGGGAAGACGGUCCUAUGGAUUGUAAACCUCUUUAGGCGGGGAGCAAUGCCGGGCACGUGUGCCCGGAGGGAGAGUACCCGCAGAAUAAGCAUCGGCUAACUCCGUGCCAGCAGCCGCGGUAAUACGGAGGAUCCGAGCGUUAUCCGGAUUCAUUGGGUUUAAAGGGUGCGUAGGUUGUUUUAUAAGUUAGCGGUGAAAUACCGAUGCUCAACAUCGGGGCUGCCGCUAAUACUGUAGGACUAGAGAUCGGAUGCAGCAGGCGGAAUGUGUAGUGUAGCGGUGAAAUGCAUAGAUAUUACACAGAACACCGAUUGCGAAGGCAGCUUGCUAGGCCGGAUCUGACACUGAUGCACGAAAGCGUGGGGAUCGAACAGGAUUAGAUACCCUAGUA